ensembl:lncRNA
AAAUUUAUAUUAUUUAAAUUUAAAUAACACUGAUAAUUAGGUUAUAUAUAAUAUAUGGUUACGAUUAGAUUUAUAUUUCCUCUUAAAUAUGUUUCAUUAUACAGUAAGAGGAGCUGCAGGGUUUCUCUGUAAUCCGUCGCAGUCUGAAAGCUGUUCAUAAGCUGUGUCCCAAACUGAAGUGUGUGGACUCCGAAGUGCGGAUGUGAAGUGCGAUUGCGUCACAGCGUCACGACGUAAGCUGUCCCAAAGUCAGAAUGCGCACUUCGAAGACCGCAUUUGAAGUGCGAAUGCGUCACCGCGGCGCGACGAAGGCUGACAAAUUUCGAAAGCGACUUCAAAUGCGGCCUUCAUUUCCCAUGAAAAUGAAGUGUACAUCUUAUGGACACUUCGCACCCUUCCAUAUCCCAGAAUCACUUGCGUGCAUAUGACGAAUGUGUUUAUAUUCAGAGGCAGGUGAGAGUUCUGUGGAGGACUUCACAUUGAAAUGCAUGGUUUAUUUGUGAAGUGUCCUGAGACAGGUGAGGGAGUGAGUGGACAGGGAGGACAUCAAACUCAAACAAAUACAUUCUUCAUUAGCCAAGAGAAAACAGUGGGGAAAAAUGAGUACAUUACAGUUUUUCCAAUAUAUUUUUUAAAUGUCAUAUUGUCAAUGAAACAACCUAAUUUCUGUAGUUUAUUUUUGUUACGCAAGUUAAAAAUGAAAGCAUAAAUUGUAUACAUUAUUCAUUUUGUGUGUGUAAUUUCACUUCUCAGUAGAUCCAGCAGCACUGUCAGGGUCUCCCUGCUCAGAACAAACCAUUAAACACCUGUCCAGCGCUGCCACAUUCAGCUCUAUCCUGCACAGGGGUCUGGUCUGAUUUAGGGAAAGAAGGAAAAGAGAAAUUGUUUAGAGCUAUGACAACGUAAUUAGUACAAGAAAUAUUGACAUACUUUAGUAAACUACUUUUAGUAACUACUAAUACCAGACUGGGGAAAAACUACUACUCAUAAUAUUUAAAACCUUAGCUGAAGGGAUAGUUUACCCAAAAAUAUAAAUUACAAACCUGGAGCAACUGAAGGGUGAGUAAAUGAUUACAGGAUUUUCAUUUUUGGCUAAACUAUCCUUUAAGUAAAAGUAUUAUCUUGCAUACUCUAAUAUACUUAAGGUACUGAGAGUAAAAGUAAAGGUAUGUGCAGUAUUGCCUUGAAAAAAAGAAUUCAUCAGGAUGGUUUUACAUUAAUAAUACUGCUGCACUUCUGUGUAUGUUGCAGUUUACUUCUAAAUAUGUUCAAGGUUAUUAAAUUUAAAGCUGCUGGACAUUAAGCUGUACUAUGCUCUAUUUUUUUAAAUACAGUUUUAUUUUUAUGGUUAACUGCCUAAAAAAAUAUGGGUUGUAAACCUGUCUACAUAUGGUCAAGACAAUAAACUACAUAAAAUCGCACCUUUGUAAGAUAUC